rnacentral:rRNA from 1 species
UAACACAUGCAAGUCGAACGAAGUAGCAAUACUUAGUGGCAGACGGGUGAGUAACAUGUGGGUAUCUGCCCUUUGGCCUGGAAUAACACGAGGAAACUUGUGCUAAUACCGGAUAAGUCUUUACGGAGAAAGCUUUAUGCACCAUUGGAUGAGCCCGCACUUGAUUAGUUUGUUGGUGGGGUAAUGGCCUACCAAGACAAUGAUCAAUAGCCGAUUUGAGAGGAUGAUCAGCCACAUUGGGACUGAGACACGGCCCAAACUCCUACGGGAGGCAGCAGUGGGGAAUCUUGCACAAUGGAGGAAACUCUGAUGCAGCGAUGCCGCGUGAGUAAGAAGGCCCUUGGGUUGUAAAGCUCUUUCGUCGGGGAAGAAAAUGACUGUACCCGAAUAAGAAGGUCCGGCUAACUUCGUGCCAGCAGCCGCGGUAAUACGAAGGACCUAGCGUAGUUCGGAAUUACUGGGCUUAAAGAGUUCGUAGGUGGUUAAAAUAGUUGGUGGUGAAAUCCCAGAGCUUAACUCUGGAACUGCCAUCAAAACUUUUUAGCUAGAGUAUGAUAGAGGAAAGCAGAAUUUCUAGUGUAGAGGUGAAAUUCGUAGAUAUUAGAAAGAAUACCAAUUGCGAAGGCAGCUUUCUGGAUCAUUACUGACACUGAGGAACGAAAGCAUGGGUAGCGAAGAGGAUUAGAUACCCUCGUAGUCCAUGCCGUAAACGAUGUGUGUUAGACGUUGGAAAUUUAUUUUCAGUGUCGCAGCGAAAGCAAUAAACACACCGCCUGGGGAGUACGACCGCAAGGUUAAAACUCAAAUGAAUUGACGGGGACCCGCACAAGUAGUGGAGCAUGUGGUUUAAUUCGAAGAUACGCGCAGAACCUUACCAACACUUGACAUGUUCGUCGCGACUCUAAGAGAUUAGAGUUUUCGGUUCGGCCGGACGAAACACAGGUGCUGCAUGGCUGUCGUCAGCUCGUGUCGUGAGAGUUGGGUUAAGUCCCGCAACGAGCGCAACCCUCACUUUUAGUUGCCAUCAUUAAGUUGGGCACUCUGAAAGAACUGCCAGUGAUAAGCUGGAGGAAGGUGGGGAUGACGCCAAGUCCUCAUGGCCCUUACGUGUUGGGCUACACACGUGCUACAAUGGUAUCUACAACAGGAAGCAAAAUGGCAACAUUAAGCAAAUCCCAAAAAGAUACCUCAGUUCGGAUUGCACUCUGCAACUCGAGUGCAUGAAGCUGGAAUUACUAGUAAUCGUGGAUCAGCGUGCCACGGUGAAUACGUUCCCGGGUCUUGUACACACCGCCCGUCACACCAUGGGAGUUGGUUCUACCUUAAGGCAAGGUUUAAUACCCUUGACCACGGUAUAGUCAGCGACUGGGGGUG